rnacentral:rRNA from 1 species
UACGUAGGUGACCAGCGUUGUCCGGAUUUACUGGGCGUAAAGAGCGCGCAGGCGGUCGUUCAAGUCGAGUGUGAAAGCCCCCGGCUCAACUGGGGAGGGUCACUCGAUACUGAUCGACUUGAAGGCAGGAGAGGGAAGCGGAAUUCCCGGUGUAGUGGUGAAAUGCGUAGAUAUCGGGAGGAACACCAGUGGCGAAGGCGGCUUCCUGGCCUGUUCUUGACGCUGAGGCGCGAAAGCUAGGGAGCAAACGGGAUUGAGAUACCGGAGUAGU